rnacentral:tRNA from 1 species
AGUAUUACGCCGGAUGAACGGAAAUCAUUGAUGUUGAUUAAUAUAGGAGUUUAAUCUCUUUAAUACUA